rnacentral:rRNA from 1 species
UACGUAGGCAGCGAGCGUUGUUCGGAGUUACUGGGCGUAAAGGGUGUGUAGGCGGUUAUUUAGGUUUGGUGUGAAAUCUCCCGGCUCAACCGGGAGGGUGCGCCGAAUACUGAAUGACUUGGAGUGCGGGAGAGGAAAGUGGAAUUCCUGGUGUAGCGGUGAAAUGCGUAGAUAUCAGGAGGAACACCGGUGGUGUAGACGGCUUUCUGGACCGUAACUGACGCUGAGACACGAAAGCGUGGGUAGCAAACAGG